UUGCGUUUUUAAGUUUUUUAGAAAUAUUUUCAAUGUUUUUUGUACAUUAUUCCGGUGUUUUAAUGUUUUUUUAAUGUUUCCGUAUGUUUUUCAUUCAUUAUUCCUGCGUCUUGAUGUUUUUUGAUGUUUCCCUUCGUUUUGCUUACAUUUCAUAAUGUUUUUCCAGUUUAUUUCAACAAUUUAAACUUCAUUUCCUACCUAACCUAACCUAGCCUAACCAGACACACCAAACCACUCGCUCUCUUUCCCACAGGCCAUGAGGGAGGCAGUGGAGGUGUGGGGGGUCCAGCACGCCAUCAUAGACAACCUGCAUUUCAUCAGCAAAUGAAUUAAUGAAGUAUGAGAGGACCAAGCAGGUGGUGGACAGCCUCAAGGGGAAUGAGGAGACCCUCCGUGGUGCCGUGGCUGACUGUGAAGGAAAAUUAAAGAAGCAAGAACAAAAAUUCCUUGAAUUCCAAAAGCAUGCCGAGGAGAAAA